rnacentral:rRNA from 1 species
AGUGAACGCUGGCGGUAGGCCUAACACAUGCAAGUCGAACGGCAGCACAGUAAGAGCUUGCUCUUACGGGUGGCGAGUGGCGGACGGGUGAGGAAUACAUCGGAAUCUACUUUUUCGUGGGGGUUAACGUAGGGAAACUUACGCUAAUACCGCAUACGACCUACGGGUGAAAGCAGGGGAUCUUCGGACCUUGCGCGAUUGAAUGAGCCGAUGUCGGAUUAGCUAGUUGGCGGGGUAAAGGCCCACCAAGGCGACGAUCCGUAGCUGGUCUGAGAGGAUGAUCAGCCACACUGGAACUGAGACACGGUCCAGACUCCUACGGGAGGCAGCAGUGGGGAAUAUUGGGCAAUGGGCGCAAGCCUGAUCCAGCCAUACCACGUGGGUGAAGAAGGCCUUCGGGUUGUAAAGCCCUUUUGUUGGGAAAGAAAAGCAGCAGGUUAAUACCCCGCUGUUCUGACGGUACCCAAAGAAUAAGCACCGGCUAACUUCGUG